rnacentral:rRNA from 1 species
GAUGAACGCUGGCGGCGUGCCUAAUACAUGCAAGUCGAGCGAACGGACGAGAAGCUUGCUUCUCUGAUGUUAGCGGCGGACGGGUGAGUAACACGUGGAUAACCUACCUAUAAGACUGGGAUAACUUCGGGAAACCGGAGCUAAUACCGGAUAAUAUUUUGAACCGCAUGGUUCAAAAGUGAAAGACGGUCUUGCUGUCACUUAUAGAUGGAUCCGCGCUGCAUUAGCUAGUUGGUAAGGUAACGGCUUACCAAGGCAACGAUGCAUAGCCGACCUGAGAGGGUGGUCGGCCACACUAGAACUGAGACACGGUCCAGACUCCUACGGGAGGCAGCAGUAGGGAAUCUUCCGCAAUGGGCGAAAGCCUGACGGAGCAACGCCGCGUGAGUGAUGAAGGUCUUCGGAUCGUAAAACUCUGUUAUUAGGGAAGAACAUAUGUGUAAGUAACUGUGCACAUCUUGACGGUACCUAAUCAGAAAGCCACGGCUAACUACGUG